rnacentral:rRNA from 1 species
GUAGGUGGCAAGCGUUGUCCGGAAUUAUUGGGCGUAAAGCGCGCGCAGGUGGUUCUUUAAGUCUGAUGUGAAAGCCCCCGGGCUCAACCGGGGAGGGUCAUUGGAAACUGGGGAACUUGAGUGCAGGAGAGGAAAGUGGAAUUCCACGUGUAGCGGUGAAAUGCGUAGAUAUGUGGAGGAACACCAGUGGCGAAGGCGACUUUCUGGCCUGUAACUGACACUGAGGCGCGAAAGCGUGGGGAGCAAACAGGAUUAGAUACCCUAGUAGUCCACGCCGUAAACGAUGAGUGCUAAGUGUUGGGGGGUUUCCGCCCCUCAGUGCUGCAGCUAACGCAUUAAGCACUCCGCCUGGGGAGUACGGCCGCAAAGACUG